rnacentral:rRNA from 1 species
UGGGGAAUCAUGGUCAAUGGGCGAAAGCCUGAACCUGCGACGCCGCGUGAGUGAUGAAGGUCGUAAGAUCGUAAAACUCUUUUCAGGGAUCUUAAAGCCUGUCUGUCAACAACAGGCAGGUCUGACUCUCCCUGGAAGAAGCCCCAGCCAACUACGUGCCAGCAGCUGCGGUAAUACGUAGGGGGGGAGCGUUAUUCGGAAUUACUGGGGGUAAAGGGUAUGUAGGCGGCCCUUCAAGUCGCGUGUCAAAGUCCAGUGCUCAACGCUGGGUGUGCACGCGAUACUGACGGGCUGGAGGGCUGGAGAGGUGAGCGGAAUUCCCGGUGUAGUGGUAAAAGACGUAGAGAUCGGGAGGAACACCAGCGGCGCAGGCGGCUCACUAGACAGUUUCUGACGCUAAGAUACGAAAGCGUGGGGAGCAAACA